AGAACGCUACUGCAAACUUGCCGUCAGCCUUUAUUGCCGAGGAGUAAUCCUCGACAGCUUCGUCAAACUCCACCCGAAAGUAUUUUAUUUGGCCGCGGUUGUUGUAAGCAGUCGCCAAACGAGAGCCUUCACCCUCCCUGUAAAAACAAGGAAGCUGGAGCUUAUCCCACCUGACUCACUUUCACACCAUCACUGAGUGGAAACUGAAUCCACACUCCCUGCAUGGACGUCACGCAAGUGACCCGCUGCACGGUCAGUAAACUUGUUCAGUUUAGUUUCUAAAUAUCCAUUUUCUGACAGCUGAAACUGGGGACCAUUUGGGUUGCAGGCGAGUAGGAGCCCACCCCAGCUCACUUUGUCCAAAAUGCAGACCACACUCUAGACUGGUUGCCAGUGAAUCAUUCAGGGACAUCUAGACAAAGAACUAUUCAAGUUUAGUUUGGUUUUUAUUGCAGUUGUGAGACAUUCUCCAACAAUUUUCAUAGUGAAGGACACUGUCAGGAGGAAAGUGGUACCUCAACCAUGCAGAGGUCAUGCAUGCGUGCCCUUUUUGUGCCUCAUUUAUCCCCACACUGUGUCAAACCCAAAUAGCCACGUUUAACUCUGUCCUGGAAGGUUUUCCAUGUUUAUUUUUAUGUGAAAAGGGCAAUAAUGUGCUAAACGCAUGCAUGUAGGUGGAUCCACAUAUUCAUAAAGUAGUAUUUUAUCAUUAUUAUUUUUUGUUAAUCCUUGCUUAGUUGCAAUAGCAACAUUUGGAGCCCAUACAAUGAAAGAGGAACUACUGUAUUUGAUUUUGCCGUAAUUCGUGUUUGCACCAAAAUACCAUUCAAAAUGUAUUCAAACUAAUUCAAAGUGGAAUAAACCCUGCUACUCUUUGCUCA